GCAGCCGUAGCUCAGUUGGUAGAGCGCCGGAUUGUGGAUCCGUAGGUCGCUGGUUCGAGCCCAGCCGGCUGUACCA
rnacentral:tRNA from 2 species